rnacentral:rRNA from 1 species
GACGAACGCUGGCGGCGUGCUUAACACAUGCAAGUCGAGCGGUAAGGCCCUUUCGGGGGUACACGAGCGGCGAACGGGUGAGUAACACGUGGGUGACCUGCCCUCAGCUCUGGGAUAAGCCUGGGAAACUGGGUCUAAUACUGGAUAUGACUCCACGGUGCAUGUCGUGGGGUGGAAAGCCUUGUGCGGCUGAGGAUGGGCCCGCGGCCUAUCAGCUUGUUGGUGGGGUGAUGGCCUACCAAGGCGACGACGGGUAGCCGGCCUGAGAGGGCGACCGGCCACAC